UGCAAGUCACGGGGGCUCGCAAGAGCAACCGGCGAACGGGUGCGUAACACGUGAACAACCUGCCCUCGUGUGGGGGAUAGCCGGGCUAACGCCCGGGUAAUACCGCAUACGUUCCCCUGGAGGAGUCUCCGGGGGAGGAAAGCUCCGGCGCACGGGGAGGGGUUCGCGGCCUAUCAGCUCGUUGGCGGGGUAAUGGCCCACCAAGGCGACGACGGGUAGCUGGUCUGAGAGGAUGGCCAGCCACAUUGGGACUGAGAGACGGCCCAGACUCCUACGGGAGGCAGCAGUGGGGAAUCUUGCGCAAUGGUCGAAAGACUGACGCAGCGACGCCGCGUGUGGGAGGACGCCUUUCGGGGUGUAAACCACUGUUGCCCGGGACGAACAGGCUCAUUCGUGAGCUCUGACGGUACCGGGUGAGGAAGCACCGGCUAACUCCGUGCCAGCAGCCGCGGUAAUACGGAGGGUGCGAGCGUUGUCCGGAAUCAUUGGGCGUAAAGGGCGCGUAGGUGGCCCGGUCAGUUCGUGGUGAAAGCGCGGGGCUCAACCCUGCGUCGGCCAUGAAUACUGCCGCGGCUGGAGCACUGUAGAGG
rnacentral:rRNA from 1 species